CCUCCUGUGACACAAUGGGUCAGUGUAGCUGGCUGCUAACCAGAAAGUUGGUUGUUCAAGCCCACACAGGAACA